CAGUGUUAAUAGCUCUUUCAGAAUUUGUCUGCAAGGAAGAUCACCUUUCCAUUCCACCUCCCCA
rnacentral:snRNA from 1 species